rnacentral:piRNA from 1 species
UGCCAAGUGCCUCGGGACCCAAACAGACUU